UAGUGUUAAAAGUUAAAAUAUCAUCUUUCAUUUUGUGGGUUCUGCCUCAGGUUUUUAAAUAUGAUUACUCAUUUUUAACACACACAAACAUGCCAAAACAAUAAUGUCAUUCAUUUUGGGUAUUACAUUUUAAAAAUUUAAACAAACAUAUUAGGACACUUUUACACAACUCAUUUGUGUUUUUCUUGUAAAGUCGUCUACAGAAGAAAUGUAAACCAGUUUUAAUUCACAUUGUAAGUUGCAUUGGUCAUGGAUGAUUCUGCCUGGCUGCCAAUUAUUGUGUCUGCAAGAUAUGAGAAUGAUUGGAAUCUAGAAAGAGUAAUGAUUAGAAAAAAAUCAAGUGGUCUGGUUACUUCCUGCUAAACAUAUUCUGCCUGGCUGCCAAUUAUUGUGUCUGCAGGAUAUGAGAAUGAUUGGAAUCUAGAAAGAGUAAUGAUUAGAAAAAAAUCAAGUGGUCUGGUUACUUCCUGCUAACAUCUAUGUGCAGCUCAAACAACAUUUCCCUCCUCCAAAAAAAUUCAAAGAUGGUAAAGAAUAAAUGUGCGUACAAAUUUCCUGUUGUUGUUUGUACCACUUAUAAUUAAUGAUGUACAAAUUGUCAAGGAGCUAAGUGUUAUAUCUAUUUUGACAAACAUAAACUUACUAAGUAUUUUGAUGUACUUCUCUGAAAUUAAAAAUGUGAGGUUUAUUUGUAAAAAUUUUUUGGGUGGCUGCUUGUCCUGCCCUUUGCUUUUACCACUGUCAUGUUGGCGUGCUCUGGUGGAGCGUCUUGGUGGUGAUGACACUGGCGCGAUAUUUGGAGUAGUACCAGAACUGCUGCUUGUUUGCUGUUGGUGCAUGGAUCUGAGUGUUUCAUUGAGGUUAGUGAGGGUGGCAUUGAGUUCACGUGUAGCAGCAUUUUGAUUGUCUACAAUUCGGAAUAAAGUUUCAUUUAUCUUUUGAUUGUUUUGAAAAAUGUUCAUAUAGCUUUGCUGUUGUCUGUGCUGUUCUUCCAUUAGUCUGUGCUGUUCUUCCAUUAUGCGCUGUAAGUUGCCCAUGACCUGUGUAAUGUCUGCACGCAUGAGUUCCAUGGUGUUGCCAAUUCUCGUGGUUUGUUCAUUUUGUCUACUCAUAUUUCUGGUUAUUCUUCUGAGGUGACAUGGUAGGCUUGCAAACAUUUGUGUCUGCCUACGCAGGCAAUCUUCAUUAGUGGCCUGCUGUCUAGCCCAAAUGUUCCAAAACACGUGAUCAGGGCCUUGUGUUACUGGUGUGGUUGGGCUGUGUUGUGGUGUGCUUUGCUGUGGUGGUGUACUCACAGGUGCUGGGGGGCUCAUUCCUUGGCUUAAUGGCUGCAUUUCUAACAUGAUUGUCUCAUCCAUGUCACUGUGUUGCUGUUGUUGCGGAGGGAUGCUGUUCCCAGGACUAGAAGCUGUAAUUUUGAAAAAAUAUACGUUAGCUAUCCGUAUGUUUGAGAAAUUAUAACAAAUCACUACACAUGGAACACAUGUCAUUCACUGUUGCUUUCAGAUAUCCUGCCUAGCAACAUCAUCACUCAUAACGUAAAAACAUACAUAUGCCUGUUUGUGGCUAAUGUGUCUGGUUACUUCAUUGUGAAAGCAAACACAUUAUUUUUAUUGUAGAUCAGACAUACUCCACCAUAAAAACUCAUUGUAAUCCAUAAUGUGUUACCUUAUAGCUUUUCAAAAACAAACAUAGUAAUGUUUUUAUAUGUAUUUGGCAAUGUUAGGUCAAACACACAUGUGAAAAUUUGUUUAACAACCUUACUAUUUUCCUAAAUUACACAUGAGUUUCUGUUGCAGCAUCUUACACACAAUGUGCUACUGUAUGGCUGAAGUGGACAUACAUAUGUUUACAGGAUGUGGACAAGGCCAUUUUCCUAGGAUUCCAUAUCAUGUUUUACUGACUUCGUUUGAUACUCACAAUCAAGAUGAGGGGAGUGUGGUUCACGUCUUGGAGGUGUGUCCAAAAUUUGGAGUGGGGGGACCGAACAUACUGUCGAUAAUCUUCGUGCCGGGGUAUCCUGCUGUGGUUGGCCCUGGACAUCAGACCUUGCUUUCUUUGCUGCCACAUGUUUUUUUUUGGUGGUGUCUUACAGAAGUCCGACUUCUGCUGCUCCAGACUUCUUUUGAUGGACCUAGUAUUGAAAGUUAAAUUUUGUUAUGGCCAUUCCUUUACAAACAUACCCUAUACUACAAUGGACACUUUACCUGCUUCCGCAGCGUCAUCAUCAUCAGAUGUCAUGGGAGUUACUGUAGGACGACCAGUACUGCUUUUUUCCAACACUGUAAAACCAAAAUAAAAAAUCAUGUAUUCAU